rnacentral:miRNA from 1 species
AAUGCGCACUGCUGAAGAGUUU